rnacentral:rRNA from 1 species
AUCCGGCGCGGGCGUAGGAUGUUUGAGGGGAGCUGCCCUUAGUACGAGAGGACCGGGGUGGACGGGCCGCUGGUGUAUCUGCUGCGCCGCCAGGCGCAAGAGGCAGGGUAGCCAAGCCCGGCAGGGAUAAACGCUGAAGGCAUCUAAGCGUGAAGCCCCCCCCAAGAUGAGACAUCACAAGACCCCUUGAAGACUACGAGGUGGAUAGGCGCGAGGUGGAAGUGCGGCAACGCAUGGAGCUGACGCGUACUAAUAGGUCGGCUGCUUAUCCU